UGUUGACAAGCGAAAGAUUUCAAAAUUCUCAUUUGUUCACAAGCAGAGAAAGUGUUCGGUGUAAAUUAAACGUCUUAUUUUCCUCAAAAAUAUGAGUUCUAAAAAUAAUUCGCUGUAUUUAUUUGCUCUCUUCUUUACAUUGAUUCAGCUAAUAUUAGCUCAUUGGGAACCUGACUUGGAAAACAGUAAAGAUUUUCUAGGAUGUUUCUUGAAUAUGAGAUAUAAGCCAAUUUCAGUCAACAUUAACACAAAUACCCUUCUAAAGAUAUCUACGCCCACUCCAUUGGAAAUAACUGCCACAGAAUAUGAUUCGACGGUACUGGUUAACACAGGACAAUCGCUUCAAACAACUAACACAAUGCAUAAUAUUGGGAACGCGACUGGAGGUCUCUUACCAGGAACGUAUAUAUACGAUUAGGAUGGACUUAUUAUUGGACUAAGGACUGCUGGAGUGAAAAAACAGGAACAACAAUCAAUGGCAAAGGUUUCCCACUGGAAGUCAGAGUUCUAUGGAGGAAUAGCAAAUACAGCACAUUAUCCGAAGCAGUCAAACACCAAGAUGGCAUAAUGGAGCUACUAUUCGUUUACAAUAUGUGUUCAACUGCGAGCAAACCAUUCGACAAAGUCAUCGACGUGAUCAAAAAAUUAUGUCUAGCUGGGUCAUUCAAAGUGGUCCCUGCCAGUUUACAUAUCGACGCUAGUAAUUUCAUUUCUCGAGAUGGCGAGUACUAUUCUUACUUGGGAUCAUUUCUGGACACUUACACGGGGCUCAAGUAUAAAUGUUCCAGGGUAAUAUUCACCAAACCCAAUGCUGAAUAUUGUAUUACCCCGAAGCAGUUCAAGGAAGCGUUCAGUGAUCUGAGAAAUUUCUAUGGUUUAACUUACACGAACACGUUGCCGCAUGAUCCCUCUAAUGUUCAAGUAUCAGCGGUAGGGGGCGGAAUAAUUCAAAAUUUGCUCACGUGCAGUUGAAAGAUAUUUUGAAUUUUUAAAGAAGUCCAAAAUUUCGCGAAUUUUUAAUCCUAACUUGAUAAUGGGUGCAUUAUUUUAUUGUUACCGAAGUGAAAUUACAAAUUUAUCAAUAAGUAUCGUCGAAUAAUAGGUACUAAGAUUAGUUAUGAUCCUGAAAACAACAAAGAUUAAGAUAAGGUUGAAGACAUAGCAUCAUGUUUUAGUACUUGGUAUAGAUACCUAAAUAAAUCUGUAAAAGCCCAUGUAACAUACAUAGAAAAUCACUUCCAUGGAAAAAAGUAAGUAAGUAUAAUAUUUAUAUAUCACUAAUCAAUUUUUAAAAAUUGCCACUUUUGGCUCAAAAAAUGUAAUUCUGAAACGCUCACGGUCACAAAAGUUGCCAUUUAGUUACUUGGUUGAUAUCUCAGUCCCCAACUUCAGGUUAAUCCCUGCCACAGGUGGUUUGAAAUUUCACAUUUUUGGUCACUGUAAAUUUUGAAAAUUAAAACAUAAUCGUCUUUUCCAAUGUUUUAAUCGUGACAAGUCGUCCUCCUGACAACUUCACACUUUUCCAUUCAGCUAGAAAUCGCCAAGAUAAGUAAUCAAGGGUUCCUUAAAUAUGCCAAUUUGGUUCUCUUACCACAUAUUCGAGAAAUUCUGUCUUGUGGUAUGAAUUUUACAUAAGAGGUGUUUGAGGAUACAUAUUUGACCCCUCCUCAGUCCUUAUUUAUCUACUUCAAAUUAGUCCAUUUACGUCAUUUUUAGCUCAAUGAAAUCAAGGUUUCGGGUCAUCAGGAUGAUAAACCAGUAGUGAUUGAAACUCAAAAGGACGAUUACCUCAUUUCCUAAAAUUUUUCAACGUAGUGGUAAAAUGGCUGAAAAUAAGCAAUUUUAAACCACUUGUGGUAGGGAUUGACAUUGACUUGGCACAGCUGAAAUUUUCAUCAUGUUUAUUUGAAAACAAAUGGUAACAACUGUCUUCAGUUACAUCAAUGGACCUCUUGACUGAGUACAAUGAAUACAAUGUGUUGAGAUUGAGAAAAUAUUUUCCGAGCAUUUGACCUAACGGAAUUCAGCGUACCUUUGAACAAUUAACCUGGCAACAAUUAAAUGAGGAAUUCGAUCAAAUUUUCAAAUAGGUGCUUAAGAUUCAAAGUACCAUCAGCUCCGUUUAAACAAUAUGCCAGCUCAAAACACCAACACUGCAGAUUUGAACCCUGAAAACAUGUCGAUUUGGAAAUUCUCCAGCAUGAACAUUAGUGCAAAAUGACAUACCUCCUGUAGUGCGAUUCGAAGAUGAAUUAGAAUUGAAUUAUUCACCUAUGAUGAAUACACCACAAGAUAUUUCAUGAAUACCUACUGUUUUUUAUUAGAUUAUUCAAGUAAGUAUUCUUAUUUGUUUCUUUCUUAUUUCGGAGUACAUAUUCCUUUUCUUCAUCAUCUUGUUACGUGUAAUCACAGUUAUAGUUUCAUAUUAAGUACUUUCCUUGUUUUUGUAUUAUUAUUUUUGAAAAUUUCUAUUUUCAAUUCAUUAAUUAUAGGUAAAUGAUGUCCACAUAUUAGAUAUUUGUAUUUGUUUGUGAUGCCUCAAAGUAAAUAUUCUCUUCUCUUCUUCCUCGUCUGUUUUUUCAUCUCUUAUCAUCUGGUAAUAUACAUU